CUUAUGCGUUGUUGGGUAGGGGAGCGUUCUGUAAGCCUGUGAAGGUGUGCUGUGAGGCAUGCUGGAGGUAUCAGAAGUGCGAAUGCUGACAUAAGUAACGAUAAAGCGGGUGAAAAGCCCGCUCGCCGGAAGACCAAGGGUUCCUGUCCAACGUUAAUCGGGGCAGGGUGAGUCGACCCCUAAGGCGAGGCCGAAAGGCGUAGUCGAUGGGAAACAGGUUAAUAUUCCUGUACUUGGUGUUACUGCGAAGGGGGGACGGAGAAGGCUAUGUUGACCGGGCGACGGUUGUCCCGGUUUAAGCGUGUAGGCUGGUUUUCCAGGCAAAUCCGGAAAAUCAAGGCUGAGGCGUGAUGACGAGGCACUACGGUGCUGAAGCAACAAAUGCCCUGCUUCCAGGAAAAGCCUCUAAGCAUCAGGUAACAUCAAAUCGUACCCCAAACCGACACAGGUGGUCAGGUAGAGAAUACCAAGGCGCUUGAGAGAACUCGGGUGAAGGAACUAGGCAAAAUGGUGCCGUAACUUCGGGAGAAGG
rnacentral:rRNA from 1 species